GGGAGGAGGAGCACUCGGUGCGGCCGGCGGCCCGCGGCUGGGGAGGGCGGGGGGCUCCCCCUGGCCUGACGCGCCGAGGUCAGGCCGACGGCGGGGACGGAAGGAGAAGCAACUUUGGAAGAGAUGGAGUCAACACUUUUCUCCUGCAUUCGCUGAAAAGGCAGAGCUGGCGAAUGAAAAGGCAUCAAAUGGGCAGACAUUUGCUUUUUAAAGUGUACUGCUGUUAUCCGACCUUUAUAUGCUUUGUGUCCCCGCUCCCCCAGAAUAGACUCCCCAACAUCCUUGUUUUAUCCCAGCUUUUCUUCUUUGAAACGAUGGCCGGGAGGUGGCUCAGCAGUUAAAGGCGUUUGCUUGCAAAGCCUAUCCGCCCAAGUUGGAUUUCCCCCAUACCCACAUAAAGCCAAAUGCAUGAAGUGGUCCAUGUGCCUGAAAUGCAUGUGUAGCCCAGGUGUUGGGGUGUGUGUGACAUUAAUAAAAUGUGAAAAAUAAAUAAAAAGAUGGCCUGUUG